rnacentral:lncRNA from 1 species
UUUAAAAAGCUGAUGUAUUUAUACCUUAAUUGACUGUUAGUAUAGCUGACGUCUGUAUAACCUUGUAAAUAAAACCGAGUGUGAAAAAAAACUGCUGACUUUCUCAAUCUAUGCAACCAGUGGUGGUGUUACAUGGAUCGUUUCUGGUGCCGUGACCAGGAUUUCAACAGAACAUUUUUGAACGAACAAAACAUUUGUCGCGGAUAUCACAACGGAAGUACUUAAAAGAAUAUAGCUUGAAAACUACAUUUGGAAAUAUUGAAGCAUCAAUUACAGAACAGAAAUUCAUACAAAAAAUAAAGAAUAAAAAUUUAACUGUUUUACUUGGAAAAUUAUUAGUACAUCAAUGCCGGAUAAAACAACGAAAGACCUGAGGAAAACGAAUCUGGUAUUCAUUACAGGGCAAAAUAUUGUAGCAUCAACAAUGAAUAAAAAGUUCGGAAGCGCAGAAUGCUAAUAAUAAAAAAGAAAACUGAUAAGGAAAAUGAAAAAAAACUAUUAUGAACUACUGUCGGAGCUGGACAACGAAUCACGCAGAGAAAACAAAUCUUUUUAAAGACGUGCAACAGGGCCGUGCUACAGAAAAUAACGACUGCAGGAACUCGAGUAAAUGUUUCUAAGGAGGAAGGGAGAUAUAUAGAUUCCAGGAAUUCGUGUAAAAUAAUAUCUAAGGAAGGAAAGAAGAUGCAGAACUCCAGAAAUAAAAUGAGGGAGAAAUGAAAAGAUGUGUAACUAUGUUUAGAUUCUGAAGAUGAUUUCAUGAGCUAAAUUUUUCAAGGCAGAGCAUACAAGAAAUUUAAAUUUAGUUAACGAUAAUAUUCCGAACAGUUACCAGUGGGUUGCAGAGAUUCUGAACAGUCCUAACAAAUAAAAGGCGAUGCAACUUUUAGCAGCAGAUGAUGUAUGGUAAAACAUGUUUAAAGCCAUCAAA